UAUUAUCCCACAGUUAGUAGAAGGUAGACUUAAGAUCUACCCAGGCAAUCCAGCUCUGGAAUCUGUGCUCUUAAUCAAUGCAUAGUAUAUAAUUAUGUAUAGUAUAAUCUAGGAUUAUAUAAUCCCAAAAUUAUGAAAUUCUUAAGAAAGUUCAGCAGAAGAAGCCAUUAGUGUACUUCACAAAGAACACACGAUUAACUUUUAGAAUGGUAACCUUAUUCAUUCCUAUGAUCUUAGGACACUAAGCAAGUUAUUUGGGAAAUCACAAAAAGUGCUGUGAUACUUUGAGCAUUGCUGUGCUAAACUGCAAAAAAAAUUCUGGGAAACUCUGAUUUUGUUGUGUAAGGGUCGUUUUCUGAGCAUAGUAUGAAAUCUUAUGGAUUAUAUAAUAGUAAAGUAGAAAAACAUUUUGGAAAGGACUUCAUCUAAAUUUCUCAUUUUGAUAUGAGGAGACUGAUGCCUAAAGUGGUUAAGUGCAAUCAUUAAGACUACUCAACAAGUUAGCCGCAGAGCCAAAACAAGAACUCAAGGCUCAGUCUUGGUUUUAAAACUCAUGUUCACAUAGUGUACCCUCUAGUGGCCACUUUGUGCAUGACGACUUAACCUCCCUUAUCAAAGUUGAGUGUAUCAAGGGUAGGAGUUGACCCACUGGUUCAAUCCGACUCUGAUUUUUGAAAAUUUGGAAUUGAGACCAAUUGAGAGAAGGCUUUUUUUUUUUUCUUGUUGGUAGAAGGCUGUAUUUGUAAAGCAUAAGCUCUGAAGCCACAGGCUCCGUAUUUUCCACACAAGGAAAGAAGAUUUAGAGUGAUACUAACUGCAAUAGAAGAUAAAUCUUCAAAUCUUAAUAGCUUAACGGAAUAGGUAGAACUUAACAGAUAGCACUUUACUUCUCAGUAACAUCAAGUCCAUGGUGGAGGAGGGAGGUGUUGAUGAUAGGGCAGGGGGCAUGCAGUUAUUCAGGGACCAAGCUCCUUUUAUCCUGUGGCUCCUAACCUCCUCCAAGGCUUUAGUUUUCAUCAUUCUGCCGGUAGAUUAGGAGAGAUAGAAAGUACAGAAUUUCAUGGGAGCUUAUAGGUCAGAAUUUGAAGUGGAAGCCAGAAGUGAGCUACGUGGUUACAUCUAAUGGCCCAUGUGGUCUAGUUACAUCCCCAGAAGAAAAAAAAGGAAUUUGCUGAACAACCAGCCAAUGCCUGCCACGUGGAAGAAACCAGUUGAUAGACAGCAAGAGGAAUGAACAGAUGGACUGAGAGGAAGAGAGGUAAAAUGGGGAGUAUUGUUCAGCUGGAACGUG
rnacentral:lncRNA from 10 species